UGGGGAAUCUUGCACAAUGGGGGAAACCCUGAUGCAGCGACGCCGCGUGAGUGAUGAAGCCCUUCGGGGUGUAAAGCUCUUUCGACGGGGACGAUAAUGACGGUACCCGGAGAAGAAGCUGCGGCUAACUACGUGCCAGCAGCCGCGGUAAUACGUAGGCAGCAAGCGUUGUUCGGAAUUACUGGGCGUAAAGGGUGCGUAGGCGGUUGGGCAAGUUUGGUGUGAAAUCUCCCGGCUUAACUGGGAGGGUGCGCCGAAAACUGCCCGGCUAGAGUAUGGGAGAGGGAAGCGGAAUUCCUGGUGUAGCGGUGAAAUGCGUAGAUAUCAGGAGGAACACCUGCGGUGUAGACAGUUUCCUGGACCAUUACUGACGCUGAUGCACGAAAGCGUGGGGAGCAAACAGG
rnacentral:rRNA from 1 species